UUGAUAAAAUAUAAGAGGUCCCGCCUGCCCAGUGACCCUGUUUAACGGCCGCAGUAUCCUAACCGCGCNAAGGUAGCAUAAUCACUUGUCUUUUAAAUGAAGACUAGUAUCAACGGCAUCACGAGGGUUAUACUGUCUCCUUUUUCUAAUCAGUGAAACUAAUCCCCCCGUGAAGAAGCGGGGAUAAAACUAUAAGACGAGAAGACCCCAUGGAGCUUUAAACCUAGCUACACCCCACACUUACAUACCCUUUCACAAACCGAGGCCUGUAUGCUAGAUUAUGGGUUGGGGCGACCACGGAGUACAAUAAAACCUCCAUGAUGAAUGAGCCUACCCUCUUAUCUGAGAAGCACACUUCUAAGAGUUAGUAUAUUAGCACAAUGAUCCGAUUAUCGAUCAACGGACCAAGUUACCCUGGGGAUAACAGCGCAAUCCACUUCAAGAGCUCCUAUCGACAAGUGGGUUUACGACCUCGAUGUUGGAUCAGGGUGUCCUAGUGGUGCAGCAGCUACUAAGGG
rnacentral:rRNA from 1 species